rnacentral:rRNA from 1 species
GCUUACGGCCAUACCACCCUGAACACGCCCGAUCUCGUCUGAUCUCGGAAGCUAAGCAGGGUCGGGCCUGGUCAGUACUUGGAUGGGAGACCGCCUGGGAAUCCGGUUGUUCAGUC